rnacentral:rRNA from 1 species
AAAAAAGGUAAGCUACUAAGAGCAAAUGGUGGAUGCCUUGGCUAGUAGAGGCGAUGAAAGACGUGCCAGGCUGCGAUAAGUCUCGGGGAGCCGUCAAGGGGCUUUGAUCCGGGAAUUUCUGAAUGGGGCAACCCAGUAUAUAGUGAUAUAUACUACCGCAAUGCGGAGCUAACGUUGGGAAUUGAAACAUCUUAGUACCAACAGGAAAAGAAAUCAAAAGAGAUUACGCUAGUAGCGGCGAGCGAACGCGUAAGAGGGCAAACCGUUAGUUUACUAACGGGGUUGUAGGACUGCAACAUAGACUUAAACAAACUAAUAGAAUAACCUGGAAAGGUUGGCCAUAGAGGGUGAUAGCCCCGUAUAUGAAAGUGCGUUUAUACUUAGCAGUAUCCUGAGUAGGGCGGGACACGUGAAAUCCUGUCUGAAGCUGGGGAGACCACUCUCCAACCCUAAAUACUACUACUAGACCGAUAGUGCACAAGUACCGUGAGGGAAAGGUGAAAAGAACUGAGGUGAUCAGAGUGAAAUAGAACCUGAAACCAUUUGCUUACAAUCAUUCAGAGCACGAUUCUUUAUGACGUGUGAUGGACUGCCUUUUGCAUAAUGAGCCUGCGAGUUGUGGUGUCUGGCGAGGUUAAGGAAACCCGGAGCCGUAGCGAAAGCGAGUCUUAAUAGGGCGUAUAGUCAGAUGCUGCAGACCCGAAACGAUGUGAUCUAUCCAUGAGCAGGUUGAAACUGGUGUAAGAGCCAGCGGAGGACCGAACAGACGGCCGUUGAAAAGGCUCCUGAUGACUUGUGGAUAGGGGUGAAAGGCCAAUCAAACAUCGUGAUAGCUGGUUCUCUCCGAAAUAUAUUUAGGUAUAGCGUUGUGUCGUAAUUAUAAGGGGUAGAGCACUGAAUGGGCUAGGGCAUAUACCAAUGUACCAAACCCUAUCAAACUCCGAAUACUUAUAAUGUAAUCACAGCAGUCAGGCGGCGAGUGAUAAAAUCCGUCGUCAAGAGGGGAACAACCCAGACUAACAGCUAAGGUCCCUAAAUCUCAUUUAAGUGGAAAACGAUGUGGAGUUACUGAAACAACCAGGAGGUUGGCUUAGAAGCAGCCAUCCUUUAAAGAAAGCGUAAUAGCUCACUGGUCUAGUGAUUCUGCGCGGAAAAUAUAACGGGGCUAAAAUGAGUACCGAAGCUUUAGACUUAGUUUUUAACUAAGUGGUAGGAGAGCGUUCUAUUCAGCGUUGAAGGUAUACCGGUAAGGAGUGCUGGAGCGGAUAGAAGUGAGCAUGCAGGCAUGAGUAGCGAUAAUUGAUGUGAGAAUCAUCAACGCCGAAAACCCAAGGUUUCCUACGCGAUGCUCGUCAUCGUAGGGUUAGUCGGGUCCUAAGCAAAGUCCGAAAGGGGUAUGCGAUGGAAAAUUGGUUAAUAUUCCAAUACCAAUUAUUAUGUGCGAUGGAAGGACGCUUAAAGUUAGUGGAGCUAGCGGAUGGAAGUGCUAGUCUAAGGGUGUAGGUUGAGUUAUAGGCAAAUCCGUAACUCUUUAUCCGAGACCUAAAAGGCUCAUGACGCUCUUCGGAGUAGAUUGAGAAUCCAUGAUACUAUCGAGCCAAGAAAAGUUUCUAAGUUUAGUAAUAAUUGCCCGUACCGUAAACCGACACAGGUGGGUGGGAUGAGUAUUCUAAGGCGCGUGGAAGAACUCUCUUUAAGGAACUCUGCAAAAUAGCACCGUAUCUUCGGUAUAAGGUGUGCCUAACUUUGUAUUAAGAUUCACUCCCAAAGCAAAGAAGGUUACAACAAAGAGUCCCUCCCGACUGUUUACCAUAAACACAGCACUCUGCUAACACGUAAGUGGAUGUAUAGGGUGUGACGCCUGCCCGGUGCUCGAAGGUUAAUUGAUGAUGUUAGCUAUGCGAAGCAUUUGAUCGAAGCCCGAGUAAACGGCGGCCGUAACUAUAACGGUCCUAAGGUAGCGAAAUUCCUUGUCGGUUAAAUACCGACCUGCAUGAAUGGCGUAACGAGAUGGGAGCUGUCUCAAAGAGGGAUCCAGUGAAAUUGUAGUGGAGGUGAAAAUUCCUCCUACCCGCGGCAAGACGGAAAGACCCCGUGGACCUUUACUACAGCUUGACACUGCUACUUGGAUAAAGAUGCGCAGGAUAGGUGGGAGGCUUUGAUCCAUAGACCCUGGUUUAUGGUGAGCCAUUGUUGAGAUACCACUCUUCUUUAUUCGGGUAGCUAACUAGCCUAAGUUAUCCUUAGGUAGGACAAUGUCUGGUGGGUAGUUUGACUGGGGCGGUCGCCUCCCAAAAUGUAACGGAGGCUUACAAAGGUUGGCUCAGAACGGUUGGAAAUCGUUCGUAGAGUAUAAAGGCAUAAGCCAGCUUAACUGCGAGACAUACACGUCAAGCAGAGACGAAAGUCGGUCUUAGUGAUCCGGUGGUUCUGUGUGGAAGGGCCAUCGCUCAAAGGAUAAAAGGUACCCCGGGGAUAACAGGCUGAUCUCCCCCAAGAGCUCACAUCGACGGGGAGGUUUGGCACCUCGAUGUCGGCUCAUCGCAUCCUGGGGCUGGAGCAGGUCCCAAGGGUAUGGCUGUUCGCCAUUUAAAGCGGUACGCGAGCUGGGUUCAGAACGUCGUGAGACAGUUCGGUCCCUAUCUGCCGUGGGCGUAAGAAGAUUGAGGAGAGUUGACCCUAGUACGAGAGGACCGGGUCGAACUGGCCACUGGUGUACCAGUUGUUCUGCCAAGAGCAUCGCUGGGUAGCUAAGCCGGGAUGUGAUAAGAGCUGAAAGCAUCUAAGCUCGAAGCCAACUCCAAGAUGAAUCUUCUUUUAAGAGCUCUAGUAGACUACUAGUUUGAUAGGCUGGGUGUGUAAUGGAUGAAAGUCCUUUAGCUGACCAGUACUAAUAGCUCGUUUGCUUAUCUUUAUAUAAGCAUCACUUC